rnacentral:lncRNA from 8 species
AACAAAGUACUGAUUAACUUGAUCACCUAGCUACGUUGUUUGUUUUAUUACUAGACAAUAAAUGUGGCACUCGCCUGAACCCGAUGAUCCUGUGUUUGCGUUUGAAUCCUGCAAGUAGCGUCAAUCAAGAUUUGAGAGUACUUUGAGGGUGACCUGAAAGAUCGCUGUGGCACCCGGGCCAGACAGAGAGCUGAGCUGUGGGGAGGGACAUCGUGUACCCUGAAAGCCAGCACACAGGCACUGGGCAGAAAACAGACAAGGAGGAGAGGAAGACUGCCUAACUGAGCCCCCAGAUGAUCAGUCUGGAGCUGAGGCCUGGUAACACGUGCACACACAGGCACAAAAUGUAAUUUCCCAUCCAUUGAUUGGUAACAUGUACGAUAUGUUUCAGGGAACCACAUACGUUUGAGGUUAAGGCGAAGCCCAAGAGAAACCCUGUGGAUGUUAACUACCUUACUUCGUCCACCUUAGUGGGGACAGUAAGCCUAUACAGCACAGCUAAACUUGGGGCAGCAGUGCUGAAUGCAGCAAAGGAUGUCAAUCCUGAGGCAAGAGGCAUAGGUUACGGGCGGUGUGACUGCAACCGCUGUGCUUGUGAGGAGGGGUUUAUGGGUUCUGAAUGCGAAUGCUCUUCAGAGGUGGACCGUUGCUGGGAUCUAAACGGAAACCAUGGAAACUGCCUGUGUGACCGGUGAGAGUGUGAGGAGAUGUACUCCGGACUUUUGUGUGAGCAACAUGCCAUGGCGGAGGGUUAAUCACAACAUCAACAUGAAGAAAAAUGCAGUGCUUCCCUAUAAGAAUCAUGUUUCUAGGAUUUGAUACUUAGAACCAAUUGAUUCAAAAUACAGUGCAAGUCUAAGAAUAUACCCGUCCAAAAGGUUUUGACCACUAACAUCUGUGAUUCUCAAAAAUGUAAUGACCUGUACAUUUCAAUCUCUAACGCUGAUGUUCAGUGGGUUGGGAUGGUUAAAGAUUGAAUACCCAGUAGAGGAAAGCGCCACUGUCCGCCCCACCGCUGUUGUUUUAUUGUUUUGACAAAGGGGGACCUAAGGAGCAUCACACAAAGUGGUAAAAGAAAAUAGCAGUGCAUAUUCAAAUCAAAGUUUAUUGGUCGUGUACACAGUUUAGCAGAUGUUAUAGUAGGUGCAGUGAAAUGCUUAUGUUACUAACUCCAAACAAUGCCGUAAAAAGGUCAAACAAGUACACAACAGGCCUCCCGAGUGGUGCAGUGGUCUAAGGCACUGCAUCGCUGUGCCACUAGAGAUCCUGGUUCGAGUCCAGGCUCUGUUGCAGCCGGCCUCAACUGGGAGACCCAUGGUGCAUUGUCCAGGUUAGGGAAGGGUUUGGCCGGCAGGGAUUCCCUUGUCCCAUCACGCUCUAGCGACUCCUGUGGCGGGCCGGGCGCAUGCACACGGACACGGUCGCCAGGUGUACGGUGUUUCCUCCGACACAUUGGUGCGGCUGGCUUCCGGGUUAAGUGAGCAUUGUGUCAAGAAGCAUUGCGGCUUUGCUGGGUUGUGUUUCAGUGGACGCACGGCUCUUGACCUUCGUCUCCCCCAUGUCCGUAUGGGAGUUACAGCAAUGGGACAAGACUAACGACCAAUUGGGGAGAAAAAGGGAGAUUUUUUAAAUUUUUUAAUUUAUGGAAACAAAUCUUAAUCAAAAACCAGAAAUCCUCAAUGUCCAGACGAAAUGCAAUGUACAGUCGAAGAGAUUAGAUAUUAUAAUGAGCUUUGUGAAUACAGUAUAUGAAUGUGAACGGUGUUGAUUGUUUGCAAUAACUCUUUGUUGUUGUAAUAUUGCAAACGGAUGUGGUAGUUUUCACCAUUAAGGAUUCAAGCUUUAAUCUCAUACAAAACCUCUUUAGAUGUAAUUAUCUGUUUUAUCAGCUAGAUGGCAAUAUGAUACAAAAGAAGAAGCUCUAGUGAUAGUAUUCUCCACUGCUACUUACUGUUGCGGUUGAAUUAGGUGUAUUCACAUAGAUACCUCAGUAUAUGGGGAUUAUUUGCAAGAUAUAUCAUAUUGAAUAAUGAUGCACUUUGAAAUUAUUAUUUUCCCAUUUGAAGUGGUAUCUUACUUUUGUAAACCAUUAAAGACUUAGAAAACCUUUAAAGUUACACUUCUCAAUCCAUGAGAAGUGUCAAUCCUAGUUUAUGUGUCGGGGGGCUAGGGUCAGUCUGUUACAUCUGGAGUAUUUCUCUUGUCUUAUCCGGUGUCCUGUGUGUAUUUAAAUAUGCUCUCUCUAAUUCUCUCUUUCUCUCUUUCUGUCUUUCUCUCAGAGGACCUGAGCCCUAGGACCAUGCCUCAGGACUACCUGGUAUGAUGACUCCUUGCUGUCCCCAGUCCACCUGGCCGUGCUGCUGCUCCAGUUUCAACUGUUCUGCCUGCGGCUAUGGAACCCUGACCUGUUCACCGGACGUGCUUGUUGCACCCUCGACAACUACUAUGAUUAUUAUUAUUUGACCAUGCUGGUCAUUUAUGAACAUUUUAACAUUUUAACAUUUUGACCAUGUUCUGUUAUAAUAUCCACCCUGCACAGCCAGAAGAGGACUGGCCACCCCUCAUAGCCUGGUUCCUCUCUAGGUUUCUUCCUAGGUUUUUGGCCUUUCUAGGGAGUUUUUCCUAGGGAGUUUUUCCUAGCCACCGUGCUUCUUUCACAUGCUUUGCUUGCUGUUUGGGGUUUUAGGCUGGGUUUCUGUACAGCACUUUGAGAAUAUCAGCUGAUGUACGAAGGGCUAUAUAAAAAUAAAUUUGAUUUGAUUUGAUGAGAAGCACCUUUGAUGCUAAGCUCUCUUCUGCCUUUUGUGAAAACUGUUUGUAGUACAUGUAGUGCUCUCCCCAACCACAGUAUUGUAACACAGUACAUAUAAUAUACCAUACAAGACUCAGCCUUGCCACAAAUUCUAAUUUACAGAUCUACAAAUAUAUUACUGGUAAAUUAGCUAUAUUUGAUUAACAUAAC